rnacentral:lncRNA from 1 species
GAUGACUCAAAAAAUUGAGCAAAAUUAUCAAGAGGCACUGUUAUUGCCUUAUGAGCCUCUCCCUGUUAAUCAACAAUUUCUUAGAUGAGUUCCAAUAGUCUAACCUCAUGAUUGGUGGUGACCACAUGUCCGUUUCACGUUUCAUGUUUCAACUCCAAAGCUUCAUCAGGAGGUAACACACUGACUAGGGUUAACAGGGUUGGACUGGUAUUAAAUUUGGUGUAGAAAAUGCAAUUACCAGAAGAGUGUCUACUCAACUCCCUUGUUGGCUUGAAGUUUUGAUGUUGAGACCCACAUGUAGAACCCACAAGAUGAUGCAGCAUGUAUCUUAAAAUAUAAUCAAUAAAUUUGGACUUCAAUGAUAUUUCACUUGAAGAGGUUCUCAGGAUAGUGGUUUCUUUGCAAAAUACCCACUAGAGGUCUAUAGCAUGUGAGUGCAUGAAAACCAGAUGAAACUUGAAAAACCCAUUGAGAGGCACAGUCUAUUGGAUCACUACUAGAGAAUAGAGGAGAGAAGGGAAUUCAAAUGUUAUUUUUCAUUGUGUCUGUAAGAAAUAGAGAGAAAGGAAGUUAAGAGAAAUGGUUAGCCCCACAGUUCCCUUUUUUUGAAUUUUUUUCCCCACCAAGUUACCUCAAUCUUGAGAUGAUUGUUUUGGAGUGCAUGGAGGAAAAAUGUUCUCAUGUUACCCUUCUUCUAUACUUUUCUUUUCUUUCAUUUCCUUCUUUGGACAGGAACA